rnacentral:pre_miRNA from 1 species
GUCACUAGACACCUUGUUAAAAUGCGGAUUCUCAUUCAGUAUGUCUGGAGUGAGGCCUGAGAUUCUGCAUUUCUAACAAGCUCCCAGGUGAUGCCCA